rnacentral:rRNA from 1 species
UACGGGGGGAGCAAGCGUUGUUCGGAUUUAUUGGGCGUAAAGAGCUCGUAGGCGGCUUAGCAAGUCGGGUGUGAAAACUCCAGGCUCAACCUGGAGACGCCACUCGAGACUGCUAUGGCUAGAGUCCGGUAGGGGACCACGGAAUUCCUGGUGUAGCGGUGAAAUGCGCAGAUAUCAGGAGGAACACCGGUGGCGAAGGCGGUGGUCUGGGCCGGCACUGACGCUGAGGAGCGAAAGCGUGGGGAGCAAACAGG